UGGGGAAUAUUGCACAAUGGGCGCAAGCCUGAUGCAGCGACGCCGCGUGCGGGAUGGAGGCCUGGGUUGUAAACCGCUUUGUUCAAGGGCAAGGCAGGCUUUCGGGCCUGUUGAGUGGAUUGUUCGAAUAAGCACCGGCUAACUACGUGCC
rnacentral:rRNA from 1 species